GGUGGUAUGGCUCAGUUGGUAGACUGCGUGCUUGGCAAGCAUGAGGUCAUGGGUUCAAUCCGCAGUACCUCUA
rnacentral:tRNA from 1 species